UUGACUAAUGAUGUUUAACAUCAGUUCAUGUCCUUAUUUGCUAUCCAUGUCUUGAGUGAAGUAUCUGUUCAAAUCUUUUAGUAAUUUUUUCACUGAGUUAUUUAUUUUCUUAUUAUUCCCUUUUAAGAGUUCUCUAUAUAAUCUUGAUUCAAAUCCUCUAUAAGUUAUUUAUAUCAUUUGCAAAUAUUUUCUUCUGGUCAGGGGUUUGUAUUUUACUCUAACAGUGUCUUUCAAAAAGGAGUUCUUAAAAUCCAAUAUCCCAGUUUUUUUCUUCAUAUUUUGUGCAUGUAGUGUCAUCUUUGAGAAACAUUUGCCAAAACCAAUGUAAAAAUAUUUUUCCCUAUGUUUUCCUCUAGAAGUUUUGUACUUGAGAGUAUGAAUGUAGAAAUGGACCCUAAACAGAACUCUUACCCACAACAUCUGAAGUAAGCUGCUAGGAAAUGACAAUCCCUGCAGCAACUGGCCAAAAGUGAUCAGGACUUAGUAACUGCCAGCUUCUCUAAUUUUUACCCCCACAUCCAAGUCAAGACCAACUAGAGAAAGCCAGAUAUAUUUCACUAAUCAAUCGCAAAGGAUGCUGCAUUUCUCCUCAGCUUACCCCCAGAUUCCCAUCCCAACAACUUCAGAUCAGAGUGUAUCUGAGCCUUCCCUUCUUUCCACUAUAUAAAGCUUUCUCAUUCCCCUGCCCGCGUUUGAGUCUCUGCCAAACAGUUGUGAUAAUAGCUGACUCCCUUUUUAUAGUGAGCUCUGAGUAAAUAACCUCAUUUGGGUGAUCUUAAUUUUACAGGUACAUUGCUUUUGCUGUGGACCCCAGCCUUUUGCCAGCCAUGUGUAUAUCCCACCUAGGCUCCUCAUGCCUUGCUUCUAGUGGCUUUUGAGUCUGUGCUAACAUGUAUUUGAAAAGACCUACCAGGCAGCAUAAAAAGUUUACCCAGAUUCCAGAUUUAUAUUCCCCUGUUCAUGAGACCAGAAGAUUGAGACUGAAAUCACUUAGUCAACCAAAAAGAAAACAAAAAGACAACUUACAGAAUGGGAGAAAAUAGUUUCAAAUGAUGCACUGGACAAGGGCUUAAUCUCUAGAAUAUAUAAGCAACUUAUACAACCCAACAUCAAAAAAGCCAAUCAAUCAAUGGAAAAAUGGGCAAAAGACCUGAAUAGACUGUUCUCCAAGGAAGAUAUACAGAUGGCCAGCAAACACAUGAAAAAAUGCUCAACAUCGCUGAUUAUAAGAGAAAUGCAAAUCAAAACUACCAUGAGAUACCACCUCACACCAGUCAG
rnacentral:lncRNA from 1 species